GCUCAUAGCUCAGUCGGUAGAGCAUAAGACUCUUAGGGACCCUGAGGGUCAUCCAGUCCAACCCGCUGCAACGCAGGAACCUUUUUGCCCAAUGUAGAUCUCAAACCCACGACCCAGAGAUGAAGAAGUCUACUAACUGAGCUACCCAGAGUUUUGGGUUCGAGCCCCACGUUGGGCA